CAAAAAGGAAUCUGCAAGUUCAUAGAGGUGAGAGGAGAGGAAACUGCACAGGCAUCUGGUGUAAGAAAAAUGCCAAGUCACUGGGCAACUGGUUCGCAGAUAAAAAGAGGAGAAGCAGGGACUUGGCUCUUAACUUCGGUCGUUAAACUUUGAGGAAACGAUGUGGAGUUGUGAUAAGACCUGGGAAUGUUCAAGACGGACUCGCCAUCACUGGAACAAGGGUCCAUUAACUAGCAUGAUCCAAACAGCAGGGCCCUCUCGACCAAUCAGAGCGCAGCAGUGUGGGAACAACUGUGACACAGAGAAGAAGAAAUGCCAAAUAUGAGGACGGACGGCGUUCACGUCUGAGAGGAGGGGAGUUAUGUCCAUUUGAAAAUCAUGGGUUAUCUUUAGACUAUGGGAGAAUUUGUACUAAAAGUGAAUAUUACUACUAAUAUUUUAUCAGAAAUUUGCACUUGGUUUAACAUGUAACAAAAUCAGUAGAUAAACCAUAUGUAUUUAUUUAUUUUGUCUUUUUUGUUUAAAGGUCCUUUAUUAUGCAAAAAUGACUCCUAUGAGCUUUAAGUCAUGUUAAAAUGUUCCUCAAAAACAUACCUGUGUUUUGUUUCAUUCACACACUUUUGAGUAAUCCUUUAUAAAUCUGUUUACAACUCUGAAGCUCAAAAUGCUCUGUUCCAGCUUGUGAUGCCAUGAAGUGGUAGUUUUCAAGUUAACACCUUUUACCUUUUGUUUAGUGGAGAUUGGUAAUUCCAGGGCUGAAAUCAUCCAAAUAAUUCUGAAGGUGUGUGGAGUUUUCUGUUUGAGAGAAAAACUAUGCAUGGUUUGUGUGAAUGAAAACUCAAAACUCCAGGUAUGUUUGUGAUGAUGAAACAGCAUUAUAACAUAGAUCAGAAAAUUUGAAUAACGUUUAUGUAUAUAGUAUGGCAUUAAACCUAAUCAUCCAUCCAUUUUCUUACUCUUAUUCGAGACCGGGUCGGACAUCCUCCAGCUCUUCUGGGCAGACCCCGAGAUGUUCCCAGGUCAGCCGAGAGACAUAGUCCGUCCAUUGUGUCCUGGGUCUUCCCCGGUGCCUCCUCCUGGUGGAACAUUCCCUGAACACCUCCCGAGGAAGGCGCCCAGGAAGCAUCCGGAACAGAUGCCCGAGCCACCUCAGCUGGCUCCUCUCAACAUGGAGGAGCAGAGGCUCUACCCCGAGCUUCUCCCAUGUGACUGAACUCCUCACCCUAUCUCUAAGGUUCUUUUGGUCAUUACCCAAAGCUCAAGACCAUAGAUGAGGACAGGAAUGUAGACUGAGCGGUAAAAAUCGAGAGCUUUGCUUUCGACUCAGCUCCCUCUUCACCACAACGGUCUGAUACAGUGACCGCAUCACUGCCGACGUUGCACCGAUCCACUUGUCAAUCUCACGCUCCAUCCUUCCCUCACUUGAGAACAAGACCCCGAGAUAAACCUAAUCAACUCAGUAAUUUAAUAAUUACAAGUACAUGUGCUAAUUGCUCAGAAAACAUGCAUACUGUGAACAGGGUCACCUCUCCACAGAUCUGAUCCACAAACUGGCCUGGAGGUGCCACCUUCUUGUCUCCAUGGAUAUAAACACGUUUAAUGCCAUACUGUGAAAAUUUCCAUGCUCUUAAAAUUGUCCUUUGAAAAAUAACACUUUUCCUGUAUACUUUGAAGGAUUCUCUCUGUUAUUGAGUUCUAUCUGUGCUUUUCUGUAAACAUUUGGCACUUUUGUGACAGACACAGUUUCAUACAUUAUAUUUUAUUAUACAGAUGUUUCCGUAUUCGCUGACUGAAAUUGCAUUGUGGGGAAAAUAUCUGCUGAGAUGAGAAAACUUCAACAAGCACAGUGAUUCUUUUUGGACAGGAGAGCCCAUGAGAAAAGUCAGACACAGCUGUGGUGAGGAAAACUAAAUCUCACCUAUCUGUAACAUCAAUAAAUUAAUAUUAAAGUGCUCAUGUUAUGCAAUUUCCUGAUCUAUGUUAUAAAGUUGUUUCAUCAUCCAAAACAUACCAAGUGUUGUGUUUGGUUUCAUUCAUAAUUUUUAACACACAAACCCUGCAAAUUUAUGUUCCUUGUGAUGUCAUGUGGUGAUACAGAAAGUGCUCCACUGUGUUUUUAAACUCUAUACACCUUCACGAAAAUCAUUUGGAUGAUUUCACCUCUGGAAUCGCCCAUUUCUAAUUGAACUAAAGAUAAAAAGUAGGUGUUAACUUGAAAACUAACAAUUCCUGACAUUACAAAGUGGAAAAGAGCAUUUUGAGCUUUGGAGAUGUAGACAGACCAGUAAUAAAGGAUUACUCAAACAUGUGUGAAUGAAACAAAACACAACUCCAGAUAUGUUUUUGAGGGGGCAAUAACAUUAUAGCAUGGCUUAAAUUUCCCAAGAGUCAGUUUCAUGUAAUAAAGGAGCUUUAAGUCAAGUUCAUUCGUGUUUGUGACAGUUAUUUAAGUUCAUCAGUGUGUGUUCAUUAGUCUAUGUUCAUUUCUGUAUGCUCAUUAGUGUGUUUUCAUUAUGAAGUGUGCGUUCCCUUGGCCUCGGUAGCAGUUGCUGUGUGCUCUUACCUAAUUAUGAUUUGGCGGUUUUGGCACAAACACAGAUCCUACAGCAGUUUAAUGAGCAGUGACUGUUACGUCACUAUGUUCUAUCCUCAGAAAUAAAAGAGGCAUUAGAUCCAUUAUGGAGCUUCAGACUGUGAAGUGUUCAGAUGUGUGCUUAAAGAGAGUGGCACAUUCAGAGCAUUAGCGCAGAUUAAUGCUGUGUAUUGUCUGCUACAGUAAAUCUACUCCGAUAGUGUCAUCAUUUAAUGUGGCUUUGAUUUACACAAAGAGAAAGUCGUUUUUAGUGACGUUUACAGUUUAUCCAAGCAUGACAGUGGCGUAUAAACUAUAAAAAUAAAAAAAAUCAGUGGAAUAAAUACUGUAUCUAAACAUUUCCCAUGGCAACAGAGGGGUUGGCUGCUCUUGUGGUUACCUGGCUCACACAUUGAGCAGUUUUUGAAUCAUUUUGUGUUUUGAGCUCAGUUUUUAACAUUAUAUCAUG